ACGUUCAUGGCUAAUUAAUUUAUUUAUUUAUUUAUUAAAUUAUUAUUUAAUUAGUAUUUUUUAUGUUAAUAAAUUUAGUAAAAUAUUUUUAUUUUAAAGCUAUAAUUAUUAUUGUUCCAAUUAUAUAUUGUAAUGUAGCUAUAUAAAUAUUAUUUUUUUAUUUUAGAAAAUAACAGAAUCUUCAUCUAAGGGUUAUUAGAUAGAAUGAAGUUGAGAAAAAGUAUAUAGAGAUAUGCUUCUGCAUUCUCCCAUGAGACCGCAGAAAAUAUAUCGUAACCGACUAACCGCAAUAUGCGGAACGCAAUAUUAUGUACGACAUGAUAUUUUUGCAUCGUAAUUUCUCACCGCACAUAGUGCAAUUUUUCCGCUAUUCCAAACGAAGCCUAAAUGUAAAGUCCUAUUUUAUUUCAAAAAUUAUAUCUACUAAGAACAACUUAUCUCAGAACCAUAGGAGAGUGAAAGACUUGAGAUGCUUAUAUGAAAAAUUACCUCAUGAUGAGCAGCUCAUCUUCUUUUCUUUUUUCGUUUUUUUUUAAAGAAAAAUAUCUGUAUAUCACGUCGCCCAUCCGUACGGCUAGCAUGGGGAGGAUACAAACUAAUUACUCUCUGAGUAGUGGUGAUGAUUGUUACUUAAUUCGGAUUCGGCAAAAAUUCGGUACGGAUAUAAUACGAAUAAAAUUUGUAUUCUAAUUUUUAAAUUUAUUAAAAAAUACGGUUAAAAAACGGAUUCGUCAAUUAUUCAAAUAUGUGAUUUAUACGGAUAUUAUAUGUUCAUCAAUUAAACAUUCGGGAUAAAAAAUUCGGCUAUUACAUUAAAUUUUUUUUCUCUAGAUUUAUACUAUUAAUAUAAAUCUCAUAAUUUUUAAGAAUAUAUAAAUAAAGAACUAUAAAAUUAAGCAGAUUAAGUUAAAAAAGAAACAAACUGUAUUAUGCUCCACAAU
rnacentral:lncRNA from 1 species